UACGUAGGUGGCGAGCGUUAUCCGGAAUUACUGGGCGUAAAGCGCACGCAGGCGGUUGGGCAAGUCUGACGUGAAAGCUCCUGGCUUAACUGGGAGAGGUCGUUGGAAACUGCUUGACUUGAGGCAAUGAGAGGGGUGUGGAAUUCCCGGUGUAGUGGUGGAAUGCGUAGAUAUCGGGGGGAACACCAGUGGCGAAAGCGGCACCCUGGCAUUGGCCUGACGCUCAUGUGCGAAAGCGUGGGGAGCGAACGGG
rnacentral:rRNA from 1 species